UGGGGAAUAUUGCACAAUGGGCGCAAGCCUGAUGCAGCGACGCCGCGUGAGGGAUGGAGGCCUUCGGGUUGUAAACCUCUUUCGCCAGUGAAGCAGGCCAUCUUCUUUGUGGGGUGGUUGACGGUAGCUGGAUAAGAAGCGCCGGCUAACUACGUGCCAGCAGCCGCGGUAAUACGUAGGGCGCGAGCGUUGUCCGGAAUUAUUGGGCGUAAAGAGCUCGUAGGCGGCUGGUCGCGUCUGUGGUGAAAUCCCCUGGCUUAACUGGGGGAUUGCGGUGGGUACGGGCCGGCUUGAGUGCGGUAGGGGAGACUGGAAUUCCUGGUGUAGCGGUGGAAUGCGCAGAUAUCAGGAGGAACACCGGUGGCGAAGGCGGGUCUCUGGGCCGUUACUGACGCUGAGGAGCGAAAGCGUGGGGAGCGAACAGG
rnacentral:rRNA from 1 species